rnacentral:rRNA from 1 species
GAUGAACGCUGGCGGCGUGCCUAAUACAUGCAAGUCGAGCGAACAGACGAGGAGCUUGCUCCUCUGACGUUAGCGGCGGACGGGUGAGUAACACGUGGAUAACCUACCUAUAAGACUGGGAUAACUUCGGGAAACCGGGGCUAAUACCGGAUAAUAUAUUGAACCGCAUGGUUCAUUAGUGAAAGACGGUUUUGCUGUCACUUAUAGAUGGAUCCGCGCCGCAUUAGCUAGUUGGUAAGGUAACGGCUUACCAAGGCAACGAUGCGUAGCCGACCUGAGAGGGUGAUCGGCCACACUGGAACUGAGACACGGUCCAGACUCCUACGGGAGGCAGCAGUAGGGAAUCUUCCGCAAUGGGCGAAAGCCUGACGGAGCAACGCCGCGUGAGUGAUGAAGGUCUUCGGAUCGUAAAACUCUGUUAUUAGGGAAGAACAAAUGUGUAAGUAACUAUGCACGUCUUGACGGUACCUAAUCAGAAAGCCACGGCUAACUACGUG